AAGUCGUAACAAAGUUUCCGUAGGUGAACCUGCGGAAGGAUCAUUAACACGUAUCCAAACGUUAAAACCCCCCCCGUGAACCUUCAUCCUGCUCUUGUAACCCGCGUAGUUCGCAAUCUCUGAUAAAUCAUAGCCCGGAAAGUUGUAGUGAUUCAGAGACCUCUGGCUACGUGCGAUCUUUGGAACAGUUACAAUCGAGCGGUAAGCGCAAGGAUAGCGCUUCUACGAUUCCUGUAGACCGUACACUCGGGCAGGAGCUUUGCCAAAGGGUCCCCAUGCCCCCUAAUAACCCCACAGUUUAAUGUGAAGCUCAAUGUAAUACAUUGGGUAAAAAAACCGAACAACUGUUAACAAUGGAUAUCUUGGUUCUC
rnacentral:misc_RNA from 1 species